UGCCCAGCAACUCCUAUCCAUACCUCCUCGUGGUAUGUACCGGCCGGAAACUAUGGGCAACCUUAGGGAAGAUCGGGUAACCAACCCCGGUGGGAAUUUUGGUCGAUGGCUGACAGGGAAGG
rnacentral:ribozyme from 1 species